rnacentral:rRNA from 1 species
GACGAACGCUGGCGGCGUGCUUAACACAUGCAAGUCGAACGGAAAGGCCCUGCUUUUGUGGGGUGCUCGAGUGGCGAACGGGUGAGUAACACGUGAGUAACCUGCCCUUGACUGUGGGAUAACUUCAGGAAACUGGGGCUAAUACCGGAUAGGAGCUCCUGCUGCAUGGUGGGGGUUGGAAAGUUUCGGCUGUUGUGGAUGGACUCGCGGCUUAUCAGCUUGUUGGUGGGGUAGUGGCUUACCAAGGCUUUGACGGGUAGCCGGCCUGAGAGGUUGAACGGCGUCAUUGGGACUGAGGGAGGGACCAGACGCCAACGGGAGGCAACAGUGGGGAAUAUUGCACAAUGGGCGGAAGCCUGAUGCAGAGACGCCGCGUGCGGGAUGACGGCCUUCGGGUUGUAAACCGCUUUCGCCUGUGACGAAGCGGGAGUGACGGUAAUGGGUAAAGAAGCACCGGCUAACUACGUG